UACGGGGGGGACAAGCGUUGUUCGGAAUUACUGGGCGUAAAGGGUCUGUAGGUGGCCAACUAAGUCAGACGUGAAAUCCCUCAGCUUAACUGGGGAACUGCGUCUGAUACUGGAUGGCUCGAGUGUGGGAGAGGAAUGCGGAAUUCCAGGUGUAGCGGUGAAAUGCGUAGAUAUCUGGAGGAACACCGGUGGCGAAGGCGGCAUUCUGGACCAUAACUGACACUGAGAGACGAAAGCCAGGGGAGCAAACGGG
rnacentral:rRNA from 1 species